GUGGGGAAUUUUGGACAAUGGGGGCAACCCUGAUCCAGCAACGCCGCGUGAGGGAUGAAGGUUCUCGGAUUGUAAACCUCUUUUACAGGGGACGAAUCAUGCCGUGAAUAACGGCAAAUGACGGUACUCUGUGAAUAAGCCACGGCUAACUACGUGCCAGCAGCCGCGGUAAUACGUAGGUGGCAAGCGUUACUCGGAAUUACUAGGCGUAAAGCGCAGGUAGGCGGUUGGGCAAGUCCGUAAUGAAAUCUCCCGGCUUAACUGGGAGGGGUUUAGGGAUACUGCCCGACUCGAGUGUGGGAGAGGUCACUGGAAUUCCUGGUGUAGCGGUGAAAUGCGUAGAGAUCAGGAGGAACACCUAUGGCGAAAGCAGGUGACUGGACCAAUACUGACGCUGAGCUGCGAAAGCUAGGGGAGCAAACAGGAUUAGAAACCCUAGUAGUCC
rnacentral:rRNA from 1 species